rnacentral:tRNA from 1 species
GCGAAAGUGGCGGAAUUGGUAGACGCGCUGGCUUUAGGUGCCAGUGGGGUUUCCCCGUGAGAGUUCGAGUCUCUCCUUUCGCACCA